rnacentral:rRNA from 1 species
CAGCAGCCGCGGGAAUACGUAGGUGGCAAGCGUUGUCCGGGAUUAUUGGGCGUAAAGGGCUCGCAGGCGGUUUCUUAAGUCUGAUGUGAAAGCCCCCGGCUCAACCGGGGAGGGUCAUUGGAAACUGGGAAACUCGAGUGCAGAAGAGGAGAGUGGAAUUCCACGUGUAGCGGUGAAAUGCGUAGAGAUGUGGAGGAACACCAGUGGCGAAGGCGACUCUCUGGUCUGUAACUGGCGCUGAGGAGCGAAAGCGUGGGGAGCGAACAGGAUUAGAUACCCGUGUAGUCCCUGUCUCUUAUAU